rnacentral:rRNA from 1 species
AGUGAACGCUGGCGGUAGGCCUAACACAUGCAAGUCGAGCGGCAGCACAGUAAUAGCUUGCGCUUACGGGUGGCGAGUGGCGGACGGGGGCUGAAUACAUCGGUAGCUACUUUGGAGUGGGUGCGAACGUAGGGAAACUUACGCUAAUAGCGCAUAGGACCUACGGGUGAAAGCAUGGGAUCUUCGGAUCUUGCAUGAUCGAAUGAGCGGAUGUCGGAUUAGCUAGUUGGCGGGGUAAAGGCCCACCAAGGCGACGAUCCGUAGCUGGUCUGAGAGGAUGAUCAGCCACACUGGAACUGAGACACGGUCCAGACUCCUACGGGAGGCAGCAGUGGGGAAUAUUGGACAAUGGGCGAAAGCCUGAUCCAGCCAUACCGCGUGGGUGAAGAAGGCCUUCGGAUUGUAAAGCCCUUUUGUUGGGAAAGAAAAGCAGCAGGUUAAUACCCCGCUGUUCUGACGGUACCCACAGAAUAAGCACCGGCUAACUUCGUG